AUGCACGCCGACCAGCUAUUACCGGCGGUCGUCGCCGCCGUGGCCAUGGCUUGCCUGCUCAUCGCCGGCCGGGCCGACGGCCUCGAGGAGUACGGCGCUCCUUCUGCCGCGGUGAGCCUGGAGAUGGAGCCGCUGUCCAUGAGCCAGAACCCCGAGCAGUUCCUCCCGCGACCGGAGGUGAUGCCGCUGCCGACCGAUCUGCUCUCAAGGCAGGACGCGGGUGGCGACGGUGAGGGGUACGUCCCGCAGGUGGAGGUCGUGCCAGAGGUGGUGGUUGAGCCGGGCGACCCCCUCGCCGAGGCUCUCGGCGGCGGCUCGUACGCAGAGGAGCCAACGACAGAGCCGGUCACGCUCAUGGGCGAGCAGGGCGACUACUACCGCACCGGUGCGACACCGAGCCCAGCACAGCCGCCGGCGAAGCCGUAUUCCCCUGGUCAGAAGAAGGCUGGUUAA
rnacentral:rRNA from 1 species